UGCUUCAGAUCUACGUUCCUGUGCCCUGCUUCCUAGAACUUCAUAGUUAGGGCUACUAAAAGUUUGGCUCCAGAAGGAUCUCAUUGCAUGGAAACUGAGGUUCCAAGAGAAGAAAACAAGCCCAGGGUUCCCGGGGACUUCUGGAAGGGACUGAUGGAUGCCAGAUGCCAGGAGCACCGACACUGAGGGAGGGCUCUGAAAAGAGAGGAGGGAGAGCUGGGACAGACGUGACAACGAGUGGGACAGGCGUGCUGGGUGACUACUCAUGAGCUGACCAAGCCCUCUGGGCCCCCUUACCACCAGCUGAUCAAAGAGCCUGAAGAAAUGAUUUCCCACUCCAUUCCCAGGCUACAAGCACCUGCUGCCCGCCACUCCUCUUGGUUAUUCAAGGGGUCUACAUGGGGCACCUACUACGUGCCGGGCACUGUCCUAGGUGCUGAAGGGACAGCGGCAAACAGCAGACGAGGUUAUUCUCGCCCCGUGGAGCAUGACUUCUCCAGAGAGAUAACGAGUAAAAGGAGUAAAUCAUUGAGUAGCUACCCCACCAGGCUGCCUGUGGCUUCUAUAAAGCUCCUCUACUCCAGGAAGCCCUCCAGGAUUGCUCAGAGGAGACUUUCCGGUUCUGUCUGAACAGUUCAUGGCCUUUUCAUUGUCUCUGCCCUUUCCAUGAGAGAGAUGCUAAAGAGGAAGAUUGUGACAUCCACUCUGGGGCACCGAAGGACCAGAGAGGGUGAGUCGCUUUCCCAAGGUGUCUCCCCAAAUUGUCAAUAUCCUGCCUUCCAUGAGCCCUUCUCCUGUCACCCUAGGCUUUCCAUGGAGGCUCUGUCUUCUCUUUCCUUCUUUUCCAGCCUUCUCCUUCCCACCAGAUCUCUGCCUUCUUGGCAAGGGACUGACGUCUCCCACUUCUCUGUUUUGGGACAGGCCUGGAGACCACCAUUGCAAAGGUGAAGGUGUAGCAAGCACUCAUUUCCCAAGGCCAAGGGCAAGGCUACUGAGCGCAGGGGUUGGGGGGGAGGAGAGCAACAGCAGAGACUGUGAUGCAAUUCAUUACUCUAGCCCGCAACCCCCUCCACACCCAGUCCCUGGACACUGCUUGCUGUGUAGCGAACUUUUUUAAAAUAGCGACUGAUUGCUGGCCAGCAAGCAGAGAGAUGGACAAUCAGGCAUGGGAGCAUAGCUUCCCCAGCUAGGAGCCAAGUCCCUGGUCCCAGCUUGGCUAAGGCCUCACUUGGUGACUUUCCACCAGGUGCAUCACUCAUCUGGGCCUCACUCGUUCGUACCACAACUGUUUAUUGAGAGCCUUCUACGUGCCGGGGACUGUGCUAGCCUGAGGAUACAGAGAGCGCAGAGCCGACUUGGCUCUUGCCCACAUUAAAUAGCCAGCCAAAUGCAGUGAAAGUGACAACUGUGAUCGGUGCAAAGAAAAGGAAGAACGUAAUGCCUUGAGAGUAUAUAGAGAGCAUUAGAGCAGUCAGGGAAGCUGAGCUGCUUCCCCCAGGAGGCGAUGCCCAAGCUGAUCCCUGAGGGAAUGGAAGAAUGGUCCAGGCAGAGAUGACACUAUAUGCAAAGGCCCUGUGGUGGGAGGGAGCCUGUCCCAGGAGUUGCAAGAAAAAGGACAUGGCAGUGGUGCGAAGAACAAAGGGGAUGAA